rnacentral:tRNA from 1 species
GUCAGGAUGGCCGAGCGGUCUAAGGCGCCAGAUUUAAGCUCUGGUUCUCGAAAGAGAGCGUGGGUUCGAACCCCACUCCUAACA